AAAAAGGCAAACCCUAAAUUUCCGUGCCAACGUUUGACUCUCCGUCUUAUAUGAAAUUUUUUUAUAAUUAGUAUUUUCAUUGUUGUUAGAUGAUAAAACAUGAUUAAUACUUUAUGUAUGACUUAUCUUUUUAAUUUUUUUAAAUAAGACGGACGGUCAAACGUUGGGCACGAAAAUCAGGGUUUGUCUUUUU
rnacentral:pre_miRNA from 1 species